UUCCGGUUGAUCCUGCCGGAGGCCAUUGCUAUCGGAGUCCGAUUUAGCCAUGCUAGUCGUGCGAGUUCAGACUCGCGGCACCGAGCUCAGUAACACGUGGCCAAACUACCCUACAGAGACGGAUACCCUCGGGAAACUGAGGUUAACCCGUCAUACCGAUCUCAGGCUUGAAUCGCAGAGAUCACAAAACGCCCCGGCGCUGUAGGAUGUGGCUGCGGUUGAUUAGGUAGACGGUGGGGUAACGGCCCACCGUGCCCAUAAUCAGUACAGGUUGUGAGAGCAAGAACCUGGAGACGGAAUCUGAGACAAGAUUCCGGGCCCUACGGGGCGCAGCAGGCGCGAAACCUUUACACUGCACGCACGUGCGAUAAGGGGACUCCGAGUGCGAGGGCAUAUCGUCCUCGCUUUCGUGUACCGUAGGGUGGUACACCAACAAGGGCUGGGCAAGACCGGUGCCAGCCGCCGCGGUAAUACCGGCAGCCCGAGUGAUGGCCGAUCUUAUUGGGCCUAAAGCGUCCGUAGCUGGCUGCGCAAGUCCGUCGGGAAAUCCACUCGCCCAACGAGUGGGCGUCCGACGGAAACUGCACAGCUUGGGACCGGAAGGCUCGAAGGGUACGUUCGGGGUAGGAGUGAAAUCCCAUAAUCCCGCACGGACCACCGAUGGCGAAAGCACUUCGAGAAAACGGAUCCGACAGUGAGGGACGAAAGCCAGGGUCUCCAACCGGAUUAGAUACCCGGGUAGUCCUGGCCGUAAACAAUGUUCGCUAGGUAUGA
rnacentral:rRNA from 1 species